rnacentral:rRNA from 1 species
AUUGAACGCUGGCGGCAUGCCUUACACAUGCAAGUCGAACGGCAGCACGGGAGCUUGCUCCUGGUGGCGAGUGGCGAACGGGUGAGUAAUAUAUCGGAACGUACCCAGUAGUGGGGGAUAGCCCGGCGAAAGCCGGAUUAAUACCGCAUACGAUCUACGGAUGAAAGCGGGGGAUCGCAAGACCUCGCGCUAUUGGAGCGGCCGAUAUCUGAUUAGCUAGUUGGUGAGGUAAAGGCUCACCAAGGCUACGAUCAGUAGCUGGUCUGAGAGGACGACCAGCCACACUGGAACUGAGACACGGUCCAGACUCCUACGGGAGGCAGCAGUGGGGAAUUUUGGACAAUGGGGGAAACCCUGAUCCAGCAAUGCCGCGUGAGUGAAGAAGGCCUUCGGGUUGUAAAGCUCUUUUGUCAGGGAAGAAACGGUAGAGGCUAAUAUCCUUUGCUAAUGACGGUACCUGAAGAAUAAGCACCGGCUAACUACGUGCCAGCCGCCGCCGUAAUAC